GAGAUGCGGUAUCCCCCGGGGCCGUGCCGGGGCUCCCCAGAUCAUCCUGUCGCAGUAGUUCGGUUUCCCCUGCCAGGCCCUUCAGGGGUCCCGCUUAGGGAAAGGAGAGCCCUGGGUGUUUCACACCCCAGAGACACCCCAGCCGGGCCGGGUGAGCUCAGCUGAGCGGCAGCACGGGGGAAGACCCCCGCAGUGCUGGUGGCUCACUUACCUCUCUACCAGGAAAGGUAUUUUCAGAGAAGAUCAAGGAUUUGUGCUUCUUCUGCAGAGUACCUUAUAAGCCAGCCAGAUCCGGAGGGGAUUUCAUUGGUUGAAAUACCUAACCAACCCCUUGGAAGGGAAACUUUUUGAAGCAAAGAAAAUGUGACUGCUGCUGUACACAGUACAGUAUAUAACAGCCUAUGUUCUCAUCCCUGCCUAUUUGCUUCUGUUUGUUAGACUGUGAUAGGUAAAAGAUAGAAAUGCAGUAAUUUAACAUCUAACAGGAGGGUUAAGGUGAGUGGAAGCCACUACAAAAGUAGAAUUUCAAUUAAUGCUUUUCUGUUGAAAAGGAUUAAUAUAGAAUUAAAUUUAUAUUACUGCUUAUUUGGAACCCUUUUGCACUGAAGCUUUUGCAAAGCAAGCUUUUACAAGCAUGAAUAUUGAAAAGGGCCAAAACACGAUAAUAGGAAAUGUCAGUUGUGUUUUAGAUUUCAAGAUUUAUGGUGCAUGUAAUGUUGUUUUGUUAGUGCAUUGUAGAAACAGAGUGGAUAAUAUGAUUAUGUAUAAUUAAUCGCAAAGUCUGAAUAGUACACCUGGGAUUUGUGAUAAAUAAUUUAUUCUUUAAUGAUCUGUAGCCCAAGAAAUACUCAGUGGACACAAUUGUAAAUAACUCCAUGUAAUGGAUAUUAUGCAAAUUUAGUGAUCUGGUUUUAAGAAAGUGCAUGAAUAGAAAAAAGGUUUCUCUAGUACAUUUUUAAUGGCAAUAUUUCCAUUUGGUUAAACUGCUGUCAUAAGGAGGUGGAUUUUUUUUGUUGUUUAUUAGCCAAUUCUAAGUAUCUAUAUUUAGUCUCUUGCUUUUGGUAAAUGUGCCCAGUAAGUAAUAAAUGGGAUAUUUAUAAUACUGGGCAGAGGCAAAUGUUCUAGAAAAAUGGGAGGCUGAAAAAAUUCGGGAUUUGUUAGGUGCACUGCUGACCACAGUUGAAGCCUUUGAAUUACGUUUCUAUUUAGCAGUUAGUGAUAUAGAUGUUAUUAAAGAAAUAGAUACCUGUCAUGUUGAGUUUUGUGAAUAUCCUUUUAACAAUAACCUGCUUUAACAUCUUUGGAUGAGUUAGCAAGAAUUUAGGGUUUUGAAUGAAUAAAGAAGGAGUGUAUGAGGAGAAGGAAAAGUGUAGCUUUUGUUUGGCAGCCUUACCAAAUCAGUUUUCUGAAUCUCUGAGAAAAUGUGCAUUAUAAAGUUAUUUUUCAACUAA